AUUGAACGCUAGCGGGAUGCCUUACACAUGCAAGUCGAACGGAGUGGCGAACGGGUGAGUAAUGCAUCGGAACGUGCCCAGUAGCGGGGGAUAACUACGCGAAAGCGUAGCUAAUACCGCAUACUAUUGGAGCGGCCGAUGUCGGAUUAGCUAGUUGGUGGGGUAACGGCCUACCAAGGCGACGAUCCGUAUCUGGUCUGAGAGGAUGACCAGCCAAACUGGGACUGAGACACGGCCCAGACUCCUACGGGAGGCAGCAGUGGGGAAUUUUGGACAAGGGGCGAAACCCUGAUCCAGCCAUCCCGCGUGUGCGAAGAAGGCCUUCGGGUUGUAAAGCACUUUUGGCAGGAAAGCGGUACCUGCAGAAUAAGCACCGGCUAACUACGUGCCAGCAGCCGCGGUAAUAC
rnacentral:rRNA from 1 species